UUAUUUUAAAGAGCCGCAGUAUCUUGACUGUGCAAAGGUAGCAUAAUCGUUAGUUUUUUAAUUGAAAUCUUGUAUGAAUGGUUGGACAAAAAAAAAAUUGUCUCUGUAUUAAUUAUUGAAUUUAACUUUUAAGUGAAAAGGCUUAAGUGUAUUAAAAAGACGAUAAGACCCUAUAAAGCAUUUUGUUGGGGUGAUAAAGAUAAAAUGAUUAACUAUAAAUUUAUUAAAACAAAUAUAAGUGAAUGGAUCCUGAUUAAAGAUUUAAAGUUUAAGCUACUUUAGGGAUAACAGCGUUAUUUUUUUUGAGAGUUCUUAUCGAAAAAAGAGUUUGCGACCUCGAUGUUGAAUUAAAAUAGUCUGUACAAUUGCAGCAGUUGUAUAAGAAAGUCUGUUCGACUUUUAAAGUUUU
rnacentral:rRNA from 1 species